rnacentral:rRNA from 1 species
CGUCGUAGUCCCAACUAUAAACGAUACCAACCGAGUAUUUGGGAAGACACUAUCCCAGCGAUCUUCUCAGAACUCAAGGGAAACCUUAAGUCUUUGGGUUCUGGGGGGAGUAUAGUCGCAAGACCGAAACUUAAAGGAAUUGACGGAAAGGCACCACCAGGAGUGGAGUCUGCGGCUUAAUUCGACUCAACACGGGGAAACUCACCAGGUCAGGACACAAGUUUGAUUGACAGGUUAAUAGCCCUUUCUUGAUUGUGUGGUGGGUAGUGCAUGGCCGUUUCCAGUUCGUGGAGUGAUCUGUCUUGUUAAUUCAGAUAACGAACGAGACCUAAGCCUUUAACUAGCCGUAGGCCUCUUCCUUCGGGGAGGGGUUAGUUUGUCGGAACAGGCUUUUAGCUUGUUCCAAAACCUACGUGACUUUUGUCAGCUUCUUAAAGGGACUUCAUUCGUUCUUGUAGAAUGAGGAAGAUUUAGGCCAUAACAGGUCUG